rnacentral:lncRNA from 1 species
CAAGCUUGUUCGUCUAAUAAGUAUGGCUUAGAUUACCUGAAAAAUCAACCAGCAAGAGUAUGUGAACAUUGUUUCCAAGAACUGCAGAAAUUAGAUCACCAGCACUCCCCUAGGAUUGGAUCUCCUGGAAAUCACAAAUCUCCUUCAAGUGCCUUAUCAUCAGUCUUACAUAGCAUUCCAUCAGGGAGGAAACAGAAAAAAAUCCCAGCUGCUCUCAAAGAAGUAUCAGCAAACACAGAGGAUUCUUCUAUGAGUGGCUACUUGUACAGAUCAAAGGGCAAUAAAAAACCCUGGAAACACUUUUGGUUUGUCAUAAAAAAUAAAGUACUAUAUACAUAUGCUGCAAGUGAGGUAAGAUCUGAAAUCUAAAGAUGAGUAAUU